rnacentral:rRNA from 1 species
UACGUAGGGUGCGAGCGUUGUCCGGAAUUAUUGGGCGUAAAGAGCUCGUAGGCGGUCUGUCGCGUCGGUCGUGAAAACUUGGGGCUUAACCCUGAGCUUGCGGUCGAUACGGGCGUGACUAGAGUCCAGUAGGGGAGCGUGGAAUUCCUGGUGUAGCGGUGAAAUGCGCAGAUAUCAGGAGGAACACCAGCGGCGAAGGCGGCGCUCUGGGCUGGCACUGACGCUGAGGAGCGAAAGCCAGGGGAGCAAACGGG